rnacentral:rRNA from 1 species
UACGUAGGUGGCGAGCGUUAUCCGGAAUGAUUGGGCGUAAAGGGUGCGUAGGCGGACUGUCAAGUCAGCGGUAAAAUUGAGAGGCUCAACCUCUUCCCGCCGUUGAAACUGGUGGUCUUGAGUGGAUGAGAAGUACGCGGAAUGCGUGGUAUAGCGGUGAAAUGCAUAGAUAUCACGCAGAACUCCGAUUGCGAAGGCAGCGUACCGGCAUCCAACUGACGCUGAGGCACGAAAGCGUGGGGAUCAAACAGG